UGUGCUCAGGUGUAGUUCAGGUGUGCUCAGGUGUAACUCAGGUGUAUCCCAGGUAACUCAGGUGUAUCCCAGGUAACUCAGGUGUGCCCAGGUAACUCAG